rnacentral:rRNA from 1 species
UCGAGCGGCAGCGCGGGGCAACCUGGCGGCGAGCGGCGAACGGGUGAGUAAUGCAUCGGAACAUGUCCAUGUCGUGGGGGAUAGCCCGGCGAAAGCCGGAUUAAUACCGCAUACGCCCGAGAGGGGAAAGUGGGGGACCGCAAGGCCUCACGCGAUUGGGUUGGCCGAUGUCCGAUUAGCUAGUUGGCGGGGUAAGAGCCCACCAAGGCGAUGAUCGGUAGCUGGUCUGAGAGGAUGAUCAGCCACACUGGGACUGAGACACGGCCUAGACUCCUACGGGAGGCAGCAGUGGGGAAUUUUGGACAAUGAGGGCAACCCUGAUCCAGCCAUUCCGCGUGAGUGAAGAAGGCCUUCGGGUUGUAAAGCUCUUUUGUCCGGAACGAAACGGGUAGGUCUAAUACGCCUGCCUACUGACGGUACCGGAAGAAUAAGCACCGGCUAACUACGUGCCAGCAGCCGCGGUAAUACGUAGGGUGCGAGCGUUA